rnacentral:lncRNA from 1 species
CUCAAUUACACAAAUUUCCUAUGAGGAUAUAUGUAAUUUAGGUUUGAGCUUCAGUAAUUGAGUUUAUUCAUUGUACUUGGAUCAUAUUUUAAAUAAUGAAUUUUGGGAUAUUAGAGGGAUUUACUGAUUAUGUCAGUAAAAUAAUUUUCAACAUAUUAGUACAUAAACGUAGAUUUUGGAGUGAGAUUUUGUGAGAAGUCUUCAAAAGAAUGUUAGGCUGUACCUAGGAUGUGAAUCUUGCAGUAAAUUUUAUUUAUUAUUUCUUGAAUUUCGUAUAGACAGUUUUUUGUAGAUUUAAACUAUUUUUUCAUCUAUUUAACUCAUGGAAUCAGAAAUAGAUUAGUUUGAUGUCGGGUAAUUAUUUCAUGCACAAGAAACUUAUAUGCAACAUCUGUUGGUUGAAUGAGGAGCAUCAUUGGAACCGUUAGCCAAAAAUGAAAUGUAAUUGGAAAAGAAAUUCAAGGAAAUAAUAUAGGAUGAAUAUGAGGGAGUGACAUCAAUAAAGAAUGGGCUACUCUUUUCUACGUCUUAUGCCAAUUUAAAUUGUAUAUUAUAUUAAUGACUACUUUCAUAUGUGUGUGUGUAUUAUUGUUUCUAACUCCGUUGAUAAGUAAGAUUCUCCCAUUGAUACAUGUAAUUCAAUUUUUUCUUCCUGACCUGUAUAGUAAUAGACGAGAAGAGAUCAAUGUUGCAUAGACUCAAUAGUUUGUUUACAAUAUUAUAAUACUUGUGUUUUCAAUGUUGUAGUUGGCCCUUAUCUUGGGCUGAUCUUAAUGUGCAGCAAGAGUACAUUCGAGGAAUCAAUUUCUCGAAUUUCAAUACUCUUGUAUGCUAUCAGUCCAUUGAUCAGUUGGUAAUAUGGAUUGCAUCAUUUGAACGCCACUUUAAUAAGUUGAGGUUUUCUCUGCAGAUUCAGGAUGAUGAUCUUUCUAAUUCAAAAAAUUCAAGUGUGAGUUGAAAGUAUAGGAAUGGGCAAGAUGACGCUGAUGCUCCUCCAGAGGGAAUAUCUACUGAUCAGGGCAUUCAUUCAAAUGUUGCACAAUAGCUGGAGGUAUAGUUGCUAUUCAAUAUAUAGUUCUAAUUUUCCUGUUGUUAUUCAGUACUUUCCUUCAGACUCCUCCCCUUUCUGUUUUGCUCUGUUUUUCGUUUUCCCCAAUCCUUUAUAGUUAUCUAAUAUGUGCAGUUUAAUCUUUAUUUUCUCAGGAUGGACUCAACGAUAUUCAUGAUCUAGAGAAUUCGUUUGCUGCAUUUCUUGUGAAACCUCUUCGGGCACUAAAGUAUGGUGCAUCUGGUUUGGACAAGCUAGAAAGGCAAAGCACAUUUUGUUUUGGACUUAAAAUCAGAUCAGCCUGCAAUGCAAUGGGAAUAUUUUCAUUGAUAUUUUGUGCCUUUGUAAAUAACAUUUUUUAGCAUAUUGGUAUAUACUUAGCUCGUUGCUCUUGUUACUUUUAGGAAACAAUGCUAAUGCACAAGGAGUUGGUGCAUUCUAGUGGCCUUAACAAACUUAUGGUGGAACUUCAAAUCAAAGGUUGGCAUUUCCUUGAUAAUCCAUCUUGUUAACUACUCAUAUUCUGAGUAUAAGCAUUUUGGGUAAAUUCAAAAAAUACAGUUAUAAGCUUAUAGAGAAACUAAUGCUAGAGCCCCUUUGAGGAAUGAAUAAUUACGUUCUAUGUUGCUCGGACUCUCCAAAAAUGGAGAAGCAUCCGUGUCAAUACAACAUGAUACGGAUACUGACAUGGGAUAUGGAUUGAAUCCUUCGUUUUACACUUGGACACGGCAACAAAAGGGAGAAGAUGGUGGAAGGUUUCUUGCUUCUCCGGCGGCUGAAAAAUUUGUAGAGAGAGAGAAAUUUGGGGAAGACAAGGAAAGACGAUGAGUUUUAAGGAGUUAAAUGGGCUCUUGAGAAGUCCAAAUGAUAGAGUUAAUGAGAGUGUGUUAAAUGGAUUCUUGUGAAGUCUAAUGAAUGUAGUUAUUGAGUUUAUAUAAUUUUUUUAUUUCUUAUAUUUUAUCUUUUACAACAUUUUAUAUUAUACUUAAAAUGAAUUAGUGAUAUAUUAUUUAUUUGGUAGUUAAAUUAUAAUUUAUUUCUAUAAUUGUUUUUAUAUAAUAUAUAAGACAUUGAAUUAAUUUUUUCUUAACUCUUUGGAAAAGAAUUUAUUUUGAUUUUUAAUUUAAAUUGAUUUCAAUAUAAUUCAAUUGUUUAAAUUGAUUUUAUCGAAUGAGUAACAAAAUAAACUACGAGUUCAUUUUUUAACAACUAGUAUCAAUUAUUUAUGUUUACAAGUAAAUUUAAUAUUGUGAUUAUUUACUUUAAUUGAACCAUUUUUCUCUUUGUUAUUUUUGCAUUGUUCUAUCAUUUUUAAAAAUAAAAAAUUGUAAGAAGUAUUCCUGUACACGUAUCCGAAAUUUGGAUUCUUUUUAAAUGUAUCUCCAUAUCUUAAUUUUUAUAAUGAAGAGGAUCCGACUUUCAGAUAUGUUCCCGUAUCCGAUACUUACGCCCAAGUCCGAGCAUCAUAGAUUACAUUGUGCAAUUACACAUUCAAUAAUUCAUAUAUACUGCAUUUUUUCUAUGUUGCCACUUUAGAGAUCACAAUUAUUCUCCUCAGUUAUUCCUGACUAUAAGUAUUACUUUGAUGAGUAAGUAAAAAAAUUGGACUAUGAAGGAGUUAUUUAGCCUUACAAAAACUUGGAGAUCUAGAGAUUAAUAUAAUGAUUUGCAUUCGUUCCAAAGCUUACAAUAUAUGGUUGAACUCAAGCCAACUCUAUCCUGAAUCUUCCAGGAGCAUCUUCAUUUCACCGGUAAUACAGUUCUCUAGCUUGCACUAUUGAAGUUGUGGAUGAUGGGUACGCAGUCAUUGAUCAUAUACAUCAGUAUGUAAGGCAUGUUAGCUUUUCACAAUUCUUUGCAUGUUAUGUUCAUUUGUGUCUUUAUACAAAUGCUACUUGCAAGUGGUUAUUAUGACUUAUA